UACGAGGGGGGCGAGCGUUGUUCGGAAUUAUUGGGCGUAAAGGGUGCGUAGGCGGUUUGGUAAGUCUGAUGUGAAAUCUAUGGGCUCAACUCAUAGUCUGCAUCGGAAACUGCCGGGCUUGAGUAUGGGAGAGGUGUGUGGAAUUCCUGGUGUAGCGGUGAAAUGCGUAGAUAUCAGGAGGAACACCGGUGGCGAAGGCGGUUCUCUGGGCCUGUACUGACGCUGAGGAGCGAAAGCGUGGGGAGCGAACAGG
rnacentral:rRNA from 1 species